UACGUAGGGUGCAAGCGUUGUCCGGAAUUAUUGGGCGUAAAGAGCUCGUAGGCGGUCUGUCGCGUCGGCUGUGAAAACCUGAGGCUCAACCUCAGGCCUGCAGUCGAUACGGGCGGACUUGAGUACUGCAGGGGAGACUGGAAUUCCUGGUGUAGCGGUGAAAUGCGCAGAUAUCAGGAGGAACACCGAUGGCGAAGGCAGGUCUCUGGGCCUGUACUGACGCUGAGGAGCGAAAGCGUGGGGAGCGAACAGG
rnacentral:rRNA from 1 species